rnacentral:lncRNA from 1 species
CAGUGCUGUAGAAGUGGGGGGUCGCUUGGGGGCGGAGCCCCCCUUUCUUCAAACUCUGGGGGGCUCAGCCCCCCUUCUACUUUAGAAAAUCGAGAAUUUAUUAUGUCACAGAGGAGAUUCAGUCAUCUGGCGAUACUAAAUACCGAAUGUACUCAUGUCCAAGAACGACAAGAGAAAACGUAACUUUGGUUCAUUUACGGAGCAGGAUCUCUGUUACAAUCUCAACAAAAAUAUUUAGUUUUGAUUUAAAAAACUCCAGCAGAACUAGUCAGACUUUUGAAUUAUUUGAAUUAGUUUGGACUAUCACAGACUUUUUAAAAUACGUUAAGUUAUUCCUUGCACAUAAUUAUGUAGAUUAGUUCAGUCUUCAUUAGUACGCUGGACAGGUGUUUGUUUCCAUUUAUUAUUUUCUUGUUAUGUAUUAUUGGGCUCGCACUUUCCAGAAAAAAAGACAUUUCUAAGAAAGAUAAGGACGAUAAGUAUGGAAAAUGCAAUUUAAAUUACGCUUAAAUAAGGCAUUAAAUUUCGAAGAAAGAAAUCUAUUCAAGGAAAAUGUACUAAGCGAUUAAAUUUUACCCAUAUAUAAUGGCUUGCUUAAGAGUCGUUCA